AACCCAGAAAUUUAUUUCUCAGCAACCCCUCUGAAAGAUUUCAUCGACAGAGAGCGAAAAUGAAGAAUAGAAACUAAUCCACCCAAACCCUAACCUUAAUUUCUAAUCCUCAGAACGGAAAAGUCUUCAAUUCAUCUGAACUGAUCGAUUCUACAUAAUCAUCAUCAGCAAUGGAUUCCACCACAACGGCAAAGAUCUCAACUUGGAGUGUCUCAGCAAUGGAUUCGUGAUGCUCUUACUUACACUGAACAUGCUAGGAGAAAGACUGUUACAGCUAUGGAUGUUGUCUCAAGAGACAAGGAAGAACUCUCUAUGGAUUUGGGGGUUAGGGUCUGUUUUCUUUUACAGUUUUUGUAAUAAUGUUUGAGCUUAGGUUUCCCUUUUUUUUCUUUUUUUUUCCAAUGUAAUUGGAGAUUAUAUUCAUCCAAUCUUUUCUUUCAUUUUCAAUUUCCCCAAUCAACAAAUCCAAUAUCAGCUAAUAUUAUUGAUUUUGAUUUCAGUCAACUAUUCAUUUCCUGCACCAAAAUACUGAUCUUAUCAGAUCUCUCCAUGUCUCUUUUUCUCGUAUAUAAUGGUUGUCUUUUAUUUUGAUUUCAAUCUACUUGUUUAUGUUUCGUUUCUGUAUCAAAUUAUUGAGUAUGAGCUUUCACCUCAAUUCCUUUCUUUAAUUUCGUUGCUCUUCUAUUUAGUCAAAGAAUGGUACAUUGUUGGUUUCUGAGACUUGGUUUUGGUUUCUGAGACUUGGUUUUGGUUUCGAUAUAUUUAUAAUGCUUAUUUGAUUCUUAUGUAUUUCAAGUUUGGAUUUGUGAGUUUUGCUCGUUAACUGUUUGAUAAAAUGGGGCAUGGUGGACUUUAGGUGACCAAGAGAAGUCAAGUAGAAAGAAGGGCACAGGUGAAAGUCAGACCAAAUGUAAUUUGUACAGGACCUCCACGAAGUUGAGAAGUUCAAGUUCACAACCAAAUGGAGAGAUCACAGAUAGUUCUAUCUAGUUACCAUUUAAACCUCCAACUGAAUAUGGACAUUCACUCUUUAUAGAGCGUUGACAUAGUCCUUCAUGAGCCGCUCCCGACUUUCCCGUUUAGCUCAGUUCUGGCACUUCAAGACAUUUCAGUAACAAUGUUAAACUUUUUACUCACAUGGUUCAUAUGCAAUAAUGAUGCUUUUUGUUAGAAGGCUGUUAAUGUUGGAUGAUAUUCCGUCUAAUUCAGUAAGAUACCCAUUGAUCAGGUUUGUAUCAAAAGGCUGUGAAUGAUAACAAUCUGUAUAUCUGAAUGUUUCCUGGUUAGAUGUGAUUCUGUCUCCCAUGUCUGUUUGUAGUUUUGGACCUCCUGUAGUUGCAUAAAAACCAAAAAGAUAUCUUUUGGUCAAUGCUCCUUGCAGUUGCUUAAAGAAAUUUAUCCUGCUGUUCAUAUCUAAUUUGUUACUGGAUUUGAAAAAAUUAAGUUAGAAUAUCAUCGUGUUAUACUUUAUUUACUAUUCCAUUGAAGAACUAGCAGUAGAGGAAGAGGAUCAUUUGCUUGUCGUUCUGUAGCCUGUGGUGGUCCAAUACUUUCACGGUCAAAUUAAUCACGUUAUCUCAUCUGGUCAUUUUGAAGCGCUGAACUUGAGAGACUGCAUGUUUGUUCUCGAUGGAACUUUAUGCACAGGAAAAAGAACUCUAAGUGUUGAUACGUGAUUUGUGCUCAAUUUAGUUCUCUUUGACUUGCAUAUUCGAUAUUGCUUUUGUGUGAUUGCAGAGCGAAGGGAGAUUCAUGUUGAGAUUUAUUCCAGCGCUGCGGCUUAUUAGUAUUUUAUAUUUGGCUCAUUGAAUUCAACUCAUUAUAGAGUAGUAGGUCAAGAGUGAAAGUGAGGCAAAUCAAUUGUGAUGUAAAUUUUUUUUUGUCCUUCUGUUCAAUGAAGUACAUUAUGCUCUUAUUGUAUUCACUGUCCGUACUCCAUGAUAAAAAUGAAAAGUUGAUUUUGUUGCAGGUUGAUGGGAAUUUAAUCAUGUAUAACCAGAAGAAAUAAUAAUGUUAGCCUAGUUUCACCUAACUACAGAAAGGACCAAUAAGAGAAAACCAAUGGGAACAUGGAAAAAAGCCUGAGAAGAAAACUUGAAGAGUAGAAUGGAGGAAUUUAUCUGCUGCUUUGGGCGUCUGAUGAAGUUUUAUCGAGAACGGAAGUGAUUUAAACUUACCAAAAGAGCAGCGUUCAUGUCUUUUAAUACAACACCCUGCAUAAUGCUGAAGGUGGAAAGGAAGAUUUACCAGGUGGGUCUGUCUCGCUGAAGCCUGAAGGUGGAAAGGAGGAUUUACCAGGUGUCUGGGAAUAGCUCUGCUAAAAUCAUUAACAUGAAUGAGAGAGCUAGACGUGGAGCUAUGCUAAAACAGGCUGAAGUAGUGUCUCCUCCCUUGACUAGAGAGGUCGGGGCAGAGCAGUGCUUAGUGCUGGCAGGACCUUCUCUACUGUUCUUGGUCGUGGCGUGCGUGCUUGAGGACAAGGUGGGACGUGGCAAUGUGCAAGCUCCAGAGGACAAGGAACAAAGCUGAGCUUAGUGUCAUUUUGCUAUUACAUUUUCUUUCUCUUUUCUUCGCUUAGAUCAUACCAGUAGUUGUCCAGCAUCAGAUCAAAUUUAGUGAGGUUUGUCAAGCUUUCAUCCAUCCCAGCUACACAGUUGAGUGAUUGGAUUGGAUAUCGGGUUGUUUAAAGACUGUAACUAAGGAUAAGAAACUUGAAUCAGCAUUUAUGUAGUAUAUUCUUGGGAACCUGUCUUUAAUAAGAAGGAUUUUAGUCACUAG